GAUGAAGAACGAGCGAAAUGCGAUACGUAGUGUGAAUUGCAGAAUUCAGUGAAUCAUCGAAUCUUUGAACGCACAUUGCACCUCUCGGUAUUCCGGGAGGUAUGCCUGUUCGAGCGUCAUUUGUACCCUCAAGCUCUGCUUGGUGUUGGGUGUUUGUUCCGCCUCUGUGUGUGAACUCGCCUCAAAACAAUUGGCAGCCGGCGUACUUGUUUCGGAGCGCAGCACAUUUUGCGAUCCAGAUCAACGUACAGCGGCAUCCAAGAAGCCUUAUUUAACGCUCUUGACCUCGGAUCAGGUAGGGAUACCCGCUGAACUUAAGCAUAUCAAUAAGCGGAGGA
rnacentral:misc_RNA from 1 species